rnacentral:lncRNA from 1 species
UUUAAGAAAGGUCAGGAUCUGUGGCGAAGCCAAGGGGAAGGGACAGGGACACAAAUACCCAAUGAGAUGUCUAUACAGGAAGGCAGAGAUACCCGCAUACAGAGUCGGGGGAGAGGAUGAGAGGGGUGGGAAAAUUGUGAGGGGGAGACUGUAUGCUAGGAGAGACUGAAUAUAAGUGAACACACAGAGAUAUAGGUAUGAAUGAAAAGGGGGAAGGGUUAUUCAUUAGAAUCAGAGUUAGAACCUGAGUCAUGUCAGAAAAUUUAGGAAGAAGAGAGAAGCAGAAAGGGAUUGGGAUUAGGAAACUGAGACAUCGAAACUCUAGGGGCCAACCCAGAGUACAAAGAUCUGUUGCCUGUGUGCACAGCUGUGGAGGUGAACCUGUGAGACUUCCUGGGUUCAAGCCCACGGGCAACGGUGCAGGUGAAGAUCCAUAAACUCCAGCUUGUGAGUACUGCUCAGAUCCAGGAUUUCUCCUCUUAGCCUUAGACUGUAGCCAGCUCUGCCUGCAGCUGGUACCAAUAGGUUUUUGAGAGGUGGCUAGACAGGAGGAGACCUGAGGGCAGGAAGAGGAUGGUGGGGUUGAAGCUUGAGGAAUGGAUUAUCUUAGAGUAAUUUGCAUGUAUCUGCCUGAUCCUAACAGGUGAAUGUGAAGGGCUGUCAUUCUGAAUGCAAACCCUUUCAUAAGUCUCAGGAUCUGUCAUCUAAGUGAAGAAAGAGUAGCUUUCUGCUCCAGCUUGGUAUCAACAGGGAUCUUUCUGUUCUUUUGGUAUUCAGGAUAGAUAACAUAGCUCCUAACUUAUAACAGUCUCUCUUUUUUCCCUCCCUCUCCCUCCACUCCUCUAUUUUCCUUCUGUCGCACCGCUCCGAGAACAACCACAGAUUGUUCCAGCUCUAAGUCAGCGCUGGAUGUCCUGACCUCAAGAUGUACCCUGAUACCGCCAAGUUCCUGCUUCCCCGUGUAGUCGCCAAAAGAAAAAUUUCUGUUGCCCCAUCCCUCCUGCAGAGAAGUACUUCCUCUUUUGCUUGUGCAUUUAAACCUUGAGCCUUGCUAAUACAGU